GUGCUCACUUCAGCAGCACAUAUACUAAAGUUCGAAUGAUACAGAGAUUAGCAUGGCCCUUUUGCAAGGAUGACACACAAAUUCAUGAAGCAUUCCAUAUAUAU